AUUGAACGCUGGCGGCAUGCCUUACACAUGCAAGUCGAACGGUAACGGGUCCUUCGGGAUGCCGACGAGUGGCGAACGGGUGAGUAAUAUAUCGGAACGUGCCCAGUAGUGGGGGAUAACUGCUCGAAAGAGCAGCUAAUACCGCAUACGACCUGAGGGUGAAAGGGGGGGAUCGCAAGACCUCUCGCUAUUGGAGCGGCCGAUAUCAGAUUAGCUAGUUGGUGGGGUAAAGGCCUACCAAGGCAACGAUCUGUAGUUGGUCUGAGAGGACGACCAGCCACACUGGGACUGAGACACGGCCCAGACUCCUACGGGAGGCAGCAGUGGGGAAUUUUGGACAAUGGGCGCAAGCCUGAUCCAGCAAUGCCGCGUGCAGGAAGAAGGCCUUCGGGUUGUAAACUGCUUUUGUCAGGGAAGAAAUCUUCUGGGCUAAUACCCCGGGAGGAUGACGGUACCUGAAGAAUAAGCACCGGCUAACUACGUGCCAGCAGCCGCGGUAAUACGUAGGGUGCGAGCGUUAAUCGGAAUUACUGGGCGUAAAGCGUGCGCAGGCGGCUUUGCAAGACAGAUGUGAAAUCCCCGGGCUCAACCUGGGAACUGCAUUUGUGACUGCAAGGCUAGAGUACGGCAGAGGGGGAUGGAAUUCCGCGUGUAGCAGUGAAAUGCGUAGAUAUGCGGAGGAACACCAAUGGCGAAGGCAAUCCCCUGGGCCUGUACUGACGCUCAUGCACGAAAGCGUGGGGAGCAAACAGGAUUAGAUACCCUGGUAGUCCACGCCCUAAACGAUGUCAACUGGUUGUUGGACGGCUUGCUGUUCAGUAACGAAGCUAACGCGUGAAGUUGACCGCCUGGGGAGUACGGCCGCAAGGUUGAAACCCAAAGGAAUUGACGGGGACCCGCACAAGCGGUGGAUGAUGUGGUUUAAUUCGAUGCAACGCGAAAAACCUUACCUACCCUUGACAUGUCAAGAAUUCUGCAGAGAUGUGGAAGUGCUCGAAAGAGAACUUGAACACAGGUGCUGCAUGGCCGUCGUCAGCUCGUGUCGUGAGAUGUUGGGUUAAGUCCCGCAACGAGCGCAACCCUUGUCAUUAGUUGCUACGCAAGAGCACUCUAAUGAGACUGCCGGUGACAAACCGGAGGAAGGUGGGGAUGACGUCAGGUCCUCAUGGCCCUUGUGGGUAGGGCUACACACGUCAUACAAUGGCCGGUACAGAGGGCUGCCAACCCGCGAGGGGGAGCCAAUCCCAGAAAACCGGUCGUAGUCCGGAUCGUAGUCUGCAACUCGACUGCGUGAAGUCGGAAUCGCUAGUAAUCGCGGAUCAGCUUGCCGCGGUGAAUACGUUCCCGGGUCU
rnacentral:rRNA from 1 species